GUGGCAGCCAGACCAGACUGCUUAGCUGGCUGCGUUGGCAGGAGGUCCCCAGAAGCUCACUCCAGCUUUGGGGAGGAGGAGGUUGUAAGAGAACCUGAAGACUUAGCUGCAUGAGGACACCACCCACCCAGGCUUCCUUCCACUGAGCACGUGUUUCCUUGUGCCGGGCAUUUUCUGAACAUUUUACAUCCCUGUUUUCUCAUGCAAAGCUGGUCCGGUACAUCUGCAAGCAGCGGCAGUGCAAGCUGAGCGUGGCUCCCAGCGAGAGGACCCCGGAGCUCAACAGCUACCCUCGCUUCAGCGACUGGCUGUACACCUUUAACGUGAGGCCGGAGGUGGUACAGGUACGUGGGCCGGGCUGUGGGGAUUGGGGUCUGGGCGUGGGGCAUGGGGGGGUAGUCAAGCAGAGGGACCACGCACAAACCCAAGGACCAGCUCUACUGUGGCUAGUGUGCUAUACUCAGGAAAGGGGUGGGGGGGGGAUGGCAGCAACAGGAGGGACUCGGGGUACAUGUGGCUCUAGUAUGUGUCCUGGGUGCCAUCGCUUUAUGAGCCAGACAGCCUGACCACACCACUCAUAGGUUCGCCAUGAGGACAGCAGCCGACAUUUCUGGAAACGUCAGCUGUGCAACAGACACUAUGUUAAACACUCUGUGCAGAGACUCUCACUUCCUUCUCACAAAACCCUGUGAAGGAGUUACUAUCAUCAUUGCCGUUUUAUACUUGAGAAAAUUAAAGCACAGAAGGGUCAAAUAACUUGUUUAAAAUCAUACAGCUAGUAAAUGAUAGCUUGGGAAUUUGGAAGCAAGGGUCUGAGUUUAGUUUUCUCCUGUAACUGCAGUAAUAUAUUAUUUUCCUUCCUUUGUUCUCUCUUGCCAUCCAUCCAACCUACCCACCCACCUGCGCACUAACUAAUCAACCAGUUUGCAUGGAGAGUGGCAGGGGUCCAGGACAGCUCUCACGGGGCAUCAAUAAGUCAAUGCUUGGCAGGUGUGAUUCACCCAGCCAGGUCUUUUAAAUCCUU